rnacentral:rRNA from 1 species
UGGGGAAUAUUGCACAAUGGGGGAAACCCUGAUGCAGCGACGCCGCGUGGAGGAAGAAGGUCUUCGGAUUGUAAACUCCUGUUGUUGGGGAAGAUAAUGACGGUACCCAACAAGGAAGUGACGGCUAACUACGUGCCAGCAGCCGCGGUAAAACGUAGGUCACAAGCGUUGUCCGGAAUUACUGGGUGUAAAGGGAGCGCAGGCGGGAAGACAAGUUGGAAGUGAAAUCUAUGGGCUCAACCCAUAAACUGCUUUCAAAACUGUUUUUCUUGAGUAGUGCAGAGGUAGGCGGAAUUCCCGGUGUAGCGGUGGAAUGCGUAGAUAUCGGGAGGAACACCAGUGGCGAAGGCGGCCUACUGGGCACCAACUGACGCUGAGGCUCGAAAGUGUGGGUAGCAAACAGGAUUAGAUACCCUGGUAGUCCACACCGUAAACGAUGAUUACUAGGUGUUGGAGGAUUGACCCCUUCAGUGCCGCAGUUAACACAAUAAGUAAUCCACCUGGGGAGUACGACCGCAAGGUUGAAACUCAAAGGAAUUGACGGGGGCCCGCACAAGCAGUGGAGUAUGUGGUUUAAUUCGACGCAACGCGAAGAACCUUACCAAGUCUUGACAUCCCUUGACAGGCAUAGAAAUAUGUUUUCUCUUCGGAGCAAGGAGACAGGUGGUGCAUGGUUGUCGUCAGCUCGUGUCGUGAGAUGUUGGGUUAAGUCCCGCAACGAGCGCAACCCUUAUGGUCAGUUACUACGCAAGAGGACUCUGGCCAGACUGCCGUCGACAAAACGGAGGAAGGUGGGGAUGACGUCAAAUCAUCAUGCCCUUUAUGACUUGGGCUACACACGUACUACAAUGGCGUUAAACAAAGAGAAGCAAGACCGCGAGGUGGAGCAAAACUCAGAAACAACGUCCCAGUUCGGACUGCAGGCUGCAACUCGCCUGCACGAAGUCGGAAUUGCUAGUAAUCGUGGAUCAGCAUGCCACGGUGAAUACGUUCCC